rnacentral:rRNA from 1 species
UUGGUGAGAUCUUCUUAGAGGUACGUUCAUUCUACAAGAUGAAGGAAGAUGGCGGCAAUAACAGGUCUGUGAUCCCCUUAGAUGUCCUGGGCCGCACGCGCGCUACACUGACAGAGCCAACGAGUUCUUCACCUUGUUCGAAAGAAUUGGGUAAUCUUGUUAAACUCUGUCGUGCUGGGGAUAAAGCAUUGCAAUUAUUGCUUUUCAACGAGGAAUGCCUAGUAAGCGCGUGUCAUCAGCAUGCGUUGAUUACGUCCCUGACCUUUGUACACACCGCCCGUCGCUACUACCGAUUGAAUGGCUCAGUGAGGCCUUCGGACUGGC